rnacentral:ribozyme from 1 species
UCAAUCAUAAAUUCCACAACGGUUCCAGUGUUUGCACUCAAAUGGUUCUCAUCACCAAAUUUGAUGCCAAGCCACGUUCUUGUGUUCGCAGGAGGCGGGGGGUCAGCAAGGACAGGCAUCGGUAACUCAGUCCAAGUCAAAAUAGAUAC